rnacentral:rRNA from 1 species
UACAGAGGGUGCGAGCGUUAAUCGGAAUUACUGGGCGUAAAGCGCGCGUAGGCGGCUUUUCAAGUCGAUUGUGAAAGCCCCGGGCUCAACCUGGGAAUUGCAGUCGAGACUGUUCGGCUAGAGUGUGGGAGAGGGCAGUGGAAUUCCCGGUGUAGCGGUGCAAUGCGUAGAUAUCGGGAGGAACAUCAGUGGCGAAGGCGACUGCCUGGCCCAACACUGACGCUGAGGUGCGAAAGCUAGGGGAGCAAACAGG